CUCUGCGCUCUCUACGUGCAAGUCAAGCGGGGAAAGGUAGCUUGCUACCUAGACCUAGCGGCGGACGGGUGAGUAAUGCUUAGGAAUCUGCCUAUUAGUGGGGGACAACAUUCCGAAAGGAAUGCUAAUACCGCAUACGCCCUACGGGGGAAAGCAGGGGAUCUUCGGACCUUGCGCUAAUAGAUGAGCCUAAGUCAGAUUAGCUAGUUGGUGGGGUAAAGGCCUACCAAGGCGACGAUCUGUAGCGGGUCUGAGAGGAUGAUCCGCCACACUGGGACUGAGACACGGCCCAGACUCCUACGGGAGGCAGCAGUGGGGAAUAUUGGACAAUGGGCGAAAGCCUGAUCCAGCCAUGCCGCGUGUGUGAAGAAGGCCUUUUGGUUGUAAAGCACUUUAAGCGAGGAGGAGGCUACUUGGAUUAAUACUCUAGGAUAGUGGACGUUACUCGCAGAAUAAGCACCGGCUAACUCUGUGCCAGCAGCCGCGGUAAUACAGAGGGUGCGAGCGUUAAUCGGAUUUACUGGGCGUAAAGCGUGCGUAGGCGGCUUUUUAAGUCGGAUGUGAAAUCCCUGAGCUUAACUUAGGAAUUGCAUUCGAUACUGGGAAGCUAGAGUAUGGGAGAGGAUGGUAGAAUUCCAGGUGUAGCGGUGAAAUGCGUAGAGAUCUGGAGGAAUACCGAUGGCGAAGGCAGCCAUCUGGCCUAAUACUGACGCUGAGGUACGAAAGCAUGGGGAGCAAACAGGAUUAGAUACCCUGGUAGUCCAUGCCGUAAACGAUGUCUACUAGCCGUUGGGGCCUUUGAGGCUUUAGUGGCGCAGCUAACGCGAUAAGUAGACCGCCUGGGGAGUACGGUCGCAAGACUAAAACUCAAAUGAAUUGACGGGGGCCCGCACAAGCGGUGGAGCAUGUGGUUUAAUUCGAUGCAACGCGAAGAACCUUACCUGGUCUUGACAUAGUAAGAACUUUCCAGAGAUGGAUUGGUGCCUUCGGGAACUUACAUACAGGUGCUGCAUGGCUGUCCGUCAGCUCGUGUCGUGAGAUGUUGGUU
rnacentral:rRNA from 1 species